rnacentral:rRNA from 1 species
GUAGGUGGCAAGCGUUGUCCGGAAUUAUUGGGCGUAAGCGCGCGCAGGCGGUUCUUUAAGUCUGAUGUGAAAGCCCACGGCUCAACCGUGGAGGGUCAUUGGAAACUGGAGAACUUGAGUACAGAAGAGGAAAGCGGAAUUCCACGUGUAGCGGUGAAAUGCGUAGAGAUGUGGAGGAACACCAGUGGCGAAGGCGGCUUUCUGGUCUGUAACUGACGCUGAGGCGCGAAAGCGUGGGGAGCAAACAGGGAUUAGAUACCCUGGUAGUCCACGCCGUAAACGAUGAGUGCUAAGUGUUAGGGGGGUUUCCGCCCCCUUAGUGCUGCAGCUAACGCAUUAAGCACUCCGCCUGGGGAUACGGCCGCAGGCUG